rnacentral:sRNA from 1 species
GAAGGGGAAACAACAAUGUUUGAUGAUGAAAAUCAUCAUAACUUGAAAUGAGGUGUCUGUUAAAGACAAUAUCUUUCAAUAAAAGCUUCAAUUCGUUCCUAAUCAAAGGGAUCAUUAUGAUGCACAUAAAAGUGCUGAUCAACCAUAAGCGUUCAUAACCCGCUAUGCGGCACCACAUGAUUGGAAUGAGGUGUUUGUUAAAGAUCAUCAACCGCUUUAUAAGUUGUGAAACAUAUAAAGAAAUAAGGGGAUGGUCACCUUGAACGAAAAAAUCCUAAUAGACACUAAUCAAUUGUAAAUGAGGUGUUUAUCGAAGGCUUACUAAAGCUGGCUAGAUAGUGAACGUAUAAAAUGAAGCGUUUCUCCUUCGCGGCAGG